GAAAAGAAGACUGAAGAAACCAGGAGAACUGUUGCUCUGAAAAUAAUUUGGACCACUGUAAAAAAAGAUCUUUGGUACUGGGGGGCUAAAACAGUAUCAACUAUUACUGCCAAGACAUAUUUGAAAGAGGAUUUCUAAAUGUCCAUCUCAAAUGAAUGAAUAGGUAUUAUUAUCAAAUGAGAAGUAUACUGCUCAGAACAUGGACUCGUCGGACACUGAAAUCAGAAAAGGGGAACUUCUAACUUAUUUUUAAGAAGGCUUUGUAGCCAUGGCCAUUGACCACAUUAAGAUGGAACUGAAGGAAUGAAAAGGGACAAAGUCAAUGACAAUGAAGAAAAUCAGAAAAGACCAUCGACGACGAAUGAGAGACUUCCACAAAUUUAUGCAAGAGGAAAGGUGGGGAGAGACUUUCAUUUCUGGGAGUGCAGUAGAUUGAAUAUUCUGCAAGGUCCUGCUGCUAAAAACUGAAUCCUACAUAAAUUACAACCAACAUGACUUUAAAUGCCUUGCUGGGAUCAGAAGAAAGUGAGGGAAAUCUCCAAAAGCCAGAAGUCAAAAAAAAAAAGAAGGAAUGAAGGAGGAAAAGGAGGGAGAAAAGACAAAGAAAAAGAAAAAGUGAGCCAAACACAGAGGAGUAAGCAGUGAUCAGUAUGAAGAAAUUUCACCCUUCAUGUGGUAUAUGGUUCUAAAACCACCAAGAGAUGGAAUUGUGCAUAAUAAAAAGAACAGGACAUACAAGAAAGCUGGGAUUGGAGAAAACACUCCAAACCUGUAUAGUCUCAUAAAAAAUUUACUGAACUGUAAUAACAAAAGUAAAUAAACACAUACACAAAUGCUACUGCCAUUUUUUGUUUUCUAUAAAUAAAUAAUAUUGUAAUCAUAGACAAAACAUUUAAACGUGCUUGCUGUGGUCAAAUGCUGUGGAGAAGAGGUAGUAAGAAGGGACAACGUCAUUCUCAGGCUGAGAUGUGGUGACCCCCGAGGUGGAAGGUUGUGGCUCAUUGUCUGCAUUUCUUUCUUUUACUCUGGCUUGAAAUAGAACCCUACCUUUGUUGUCUUCCAGUUUCUUCCUUUCAUAAAGAAGCUGUAUGUGCAACUCCAAAGGCAUCCAGACACCAAGUGCCAUCCUGCUGCUCUGAGCACUGGAGUCUGCAGCUCCAAUCCUUGGCAAACCCUUCCCAGUCCCAAUUAGCACAGAUGAUAACUGGGACGUGAUCAUCUC
rnacentral:lncRNA from 1 species